rnacentral:lncRNA from 1 species
UUCUGUUUUUGUUAGUUGGUGCUUUGCUGCGAUGCUUUUGAGUUGUUUAUUACUCCAUUAGAUUUUUGGUGAGAGGCUUAUGAUGAUUUCUGUGAUAAAAUUUCUUGGAAUUCAAUCUUCUUUGAUAAGUUGAGCAUAAUUUGAACUAAUUUGCAUAACUUUAGGGUGAUUUUGGCCUUGACUUUGGGACGUUGAAUAAACCUGUGAGGAUUUG